CAUUUACAUAUCCAGCACCUCCAUUACCCUUUCUCCUCAGUACACUGAGCACAGCUUCACCAUCAUUAACGCCACCAUUAACUCCUAAUUCUCCAUCUCUCUCUAUCUUAUCUUUAUUCUUAUCAAGAACAGUAACCCUAGAAGAUAAGAUUUAGAGAGGUAGAGUUAGCUGUACAAUUGAGGGAACAUCGAUUUAAUGAAGUUGCAGGGAAACUGAAGGCAGAGAAAUUCAAUGGAGUAUUGUUGGUACCCGUGACAUCUCUGUACAAACCAAGGGAAAGAAGGAGAAAAAGGAGCAGAGUUAUUAUGGCGAAACCCGGUACUCAACGAAAACUUCAACUCAACGAGUUGGAAGAGUUGAGAAAUGAUGCUUAUGACAGUGCUAAAUUGUACAAGAACAAAAUGAAAGUGUUCCAUGACAAGCGUAUUUUGCGUAAGUCAUUUACUCCUGGCCAAAAGGUUUUGUUGUACAACUCUCGCUUACAUCUUUUUCCAGGUAAAUUGCGUUCUCGAUGGUAAGGACCAUUUGUGGAACGUACUGUAUUCCCUCAUGGAGAUGUAGAACUCGAAGAUGUAGCAAAUCAUAACGUCUUCAAAGUCAAUGGUCAGAGAUAGAAACCAUUCCUGGAGCCACUUCCACCAGAUGAGACCAUUGACUUGGAAGAUCCUGUUUAUGUGGACUAAACCGGUUCACUUGUGUACAUACUUAUGGAUUAACCGUCCAUUUUCUUUCCCUUUUCUUUUCAUUCCGUAUAGUAUCUUUUAUGUGUGCUAACCAAUCUUUUUGUCUUAUUGAUAAUGUUGUUUGCUUUCAAAAGCAUUCAUCCAUUUAUGGUUUAGCACCAUCAUGUAUGCAUACGGUAAUAUCUUUCCUUUAGUCCACUCUGCACUGUUCUCCUGGUAUGUUCAUGUAAUUUCAAUCAUAUUCUGAAACAUUGAGGACAAUGUUAGAUUUAGG